UUUUCUAUUGGGUUUGGUAGGUGUAAACACGGAUUCAAAGUUGGUUCUUCUUUCUUCUGAUGUUUUCAUUGGUGUGCUGGAAUUCCAUAUCAGAUUCUUUAAAGGUGAGGAUGACUUCCAGGAUAUGCCAGAAGGCCCACGGACGAAGUAGACGAGGAGGCGGGAUGGACGCAUGGUACUGUCCGUUGUCCGGGAGGGCAGUGCAUAUUGGAUCUACCAAGAGAGAUUUUCGUUUCUUAGUCACUCGGGUGGGGAAUGUUGAGGGGUUAUUGUUCUUAUCGAUAAACAUUUGUUGAUACAAUCUUGUCUAUUGGUUAUGAUA